UAAACUGAGGGACGAACUAUCGUCGCAC
rnacentral:sRNA from 1 species